GGAUGAGGUAGAGGUCGCGGAUAGGAAGAGUAUGCGCGUAGAGACGUUGAAGAGCCGUCAAUGACACGCCGCCGAAAGGACUACCCGCCGAAGCCUGUACCGCCGCUCUAACUGCGGUGCAGGCUGGGACCGUUUCCGAAAGGAACGGAACUGUCACGGGGCAUUUUCCUUUUUGUCACAGGGAAUGCACUGUGUUGCGCUAUCUUCUCA
rnacentral:ncRNA from 2 species